UAGGGAAUAUUGGACAAUGGGGGCAACCCUGAUCCAGCCAUGCCGCGUGAGUGAAGAAGGCCCUCGGGUUGUAAAGCUCUUUUGUCCGGAAAGAAAAGCAUUCGGUGAAUACCCGGAUGUUCUGACGGUACCGGAAGAAUAAGCACCGGCUAACUUCGUGCCAGCAGCCGCGGUAAUACGAAGGAUGCAAGCGUUAUCCGGAAUUAUUGGGUUUAAAGGGUGCGUAGGCGGACUAAUAAGUCAGUGGUGAAAGCCUGCAGCUUAACUGCAGAAUUGCCAUUGAUACUGUUAGUCUUGAGUACAGUUGAGGUAGGCGGAAUGUGUCAUGUAGCGGUGAAAUGCUUAGAUAUGACACAGAACACCGAUUGCGAAGGCAGCUUGCUAAGCUGUAACUGACGCUGAGGCACGAAAGCGUGGGGAGCAAACA
rnacentral:rRNA from 1 species